UACGGAGGAUGCAAGCGUUAGUCCGGAAUGAUUGGGCGUAAAGCGUCCGCAGGUGGCUAUGUAAGUCUGCUGUUAAAGAGUGAGGCUCAACCUCAUAAAAGCAGUGGAGACUACAUGGCUAGAGUGCGUUCGGGGCAGAGGGAAUUCCUGGUGUAGCGGUGAAAUGCGUAGAGAUCAGGAAGAACACCGGUGGCGAAAGCGCUCUGCUAGGCCGCAACUGGACACUGAGGGACGAAAGCUAGGGGAGCGAAUGGG
rnacentral:rRNA from 1 species